rnacentral:rRNA from 1 species
CCUACGGGAGGCAGCAGUAGGGAAUCUUCCACAAUGGGCGAAAGCCUGAUGGAGCAACGCAGCGUGGGUGAAGACGGUCUUCGGAGCGUAAAACCCUGUUGUUAGAGAAGAAAGUGCGUGAGAGUAACUGUUCACGCUUCGACGUUAUCUAACCAGAAAGCCACGGCUAACUACGUGCCAGCAGCCACGGUAAUACGUAGGUGGCAAGCGUGAUCCGGAUUUAUUGGGCGUAAAGGGAACGCAGGCGGUCUUUUAAGUCUGAUGUGAAAGCCUUCGGCUUAACCGGAGUAGUGCAUUGGAAACUGGGAGACUUGAGUGCAGAAGAGGAGAGUGGAACGCCAUGUGUAGCGGUGAAAUGCGUAGAUAUAUGGAAGAACUCCAGUGGCGAAGGCGGCUUGCUGGUCUGUAACUGACGCUGAGGUUCGAAAGCGUGGGUAGCAAACAGGAUUAGAUACCCUAGUAGUC